CCUUCUUCCCCCUCCCCUAUCUGUUUUUGGAAAACGUUUUUUUUUCCCCCUUCUUUACAACCCUCUCUUCCGAAACCGGACGAGGCUCAGUUUGGGAGGGAAGUGGAACUGGAGAUGUUCCUUGACGAGAGGACAGCAUGUCAACAUGAGCGCGUCUUUGUACAGGCUGCGCCGGGAGAAGACAAGGCGGCGAUAUACACAUCUUUGUCCUUGAUUAUGGUCAUUAUGCAAAGCGAAUUACUAACAAAAGUUUGUUUGGUAACUAAUUAUAGCGCACUAAAUCUCUGCCUCUCUUCACUUCAGCAUAAUGUAUACAAACUUUUGUACACGCGGAUCAGAAUAAAACAAAGUGUUGACAGCAUCCAGCAGUGGAAAUUCACUUACACGAGACUUUUUUUCACUGAAGUGUUGACAAUAAACAUUUAAUGAAGGCAGAGACUUGGAUGUCUCCAGACAGUGUCAGAAUACUUUAAACAGACCAUUAGCAUGGCUUCUUCUACUUCAAACAGAGCACACUAUACCAUAACAUUAUAAAAAUACAAAGUACGAAACAAAUAAUCUGUUUAUACAGAUAUUUUAAGCUGUUUUCACCAGCUCUGACAUCCCCUGUAUUUAGUAACAGAAACUUACUCAUUUCAGAUUACUCGCGCUUAAAAAAUGUUAAAUACAGUUAAUGCAAUAUUAAUCGCCCUUUGGUGAUAUAAAAUGCAAUAUUUUCAGGCAGCUAUCGAGCUUUUCUAGAGGCAGAGCUGAUGAAAACAGUCACAGCUGAAUAGUGGAGAGAAAAAAGCUCGGUAUUUAUUGCUUUUGUUUGGCUUUUGGCUACAGAGACAGGAACAUUCUAAUGGGGAGUUUUUAAAGCUUCUUUCUAGAUUCUUAAGUGCAGCACAACAGAGAGAAAGUGGCUGUUUGGUCUUUACUGGAGUCUCUCAGGAAAAUACAGCAGAAGGCCACAGAGCUGGAAAUAUCUGCAUGUACUUCAAGUGACUUAACUGGAAAAGAAUGCUGCUGGGAUAUAUAUGGAGCAGCAGCACAGAGGAGCUCCUCAACUGCCCCUCAUCACCAUAUGAAAGAGGACAGAAUGUAUGUGCCUACUGUACUGAUCAGUGCAAUGCACAGACGGAAGGACUGGGACUCAGUUUGCUGUGGUGUGUCAUGAUUCUCAGAUCACAGAUCGACACUGCCUGUGAUUUCCUGGUGAUGAAGUUCACAGUGGCUGCAAGUCCCAGGCAUGUAUCAUACAAGCAUUAGGAGAGAACGGUUCUUGGACCUUGUAUCCACAUUAUAGAAGAGUCUAUAAGCUCCCUUUGAGCACUGCUUCUUCUAUGGCUCCACCCAGAAAGAAGAUGACCUGCACAAAUCCACAGUACACAUCUGUGUUUGCUUCAUAACAGCAAACACAGGUUGUACAUUUCAAUGAUCCCUAAUCAAUCUUGUUUCAGAAGUUGUUUUAUGAUACAGUAUAUGAUCAUAAUUAUGAAGUGCAUAACUGACACAUGUAUUGAUUAAAAUCUCAAAAAUGAAAAUAUCACCUUUGUGUUAAGCCUACGAUGGUACCAAGCUAAAGGCCAUAUCUCUUUUCAAAUACUACAAAGCAACAUGUAUUUUAGGACGUAGGCUUUAUAUAUUAAAUUUACUGUGU
rnacentral:lncRNA from 1 species